ensembl:lncRNA
GCCCGCUGCAGAGGAGCCUGCGGGAAGCGCAAAACAAACUCAAAAUCCGCCCGGAAGCAAGCCAGUUUUGGCUUGAAGCCCAAGCCCAGAUGGGCUGGGCGGGGCCCAAGAACUAGCUGACGUAAUUGGGCAAAAAACGCGGAUUGGCGGGUUUUGCUUCUUGCUAUUGGCGGCUUGUCGACGUGGCAAGAACGUCUGGCUGUUUUCAGGGAUGCAUCAGUUGGAAGUGAGAGAGGAAGAGAAAGACCUGGAUGUACUGGUUGAUCACAGGAUGACUAUGAGCCACCUAUUUGAUGUGGCAGUGAAAAAUGCUAAUGCAGUCCCAGGAUGCAUCAGACAAGAGACAUAUAUGUGAUUCACUGAGCUCAGAUACAAUCAGAAAUGACAUCUUCCUGACAUUUGUAUUGCUCUUUACAGUCAUCAAAAUGUUGUUUGAAUUCACAAGAGCAAGACAGCUGAUGUACAUUUGUGUUGAAAUGUAUUUUAGGUUAAAUGGACGUUUAGACAACAUACAACUACCAAGAAGUCAUACAGUUUUCAAGGCAUGUUGCGAGGGGCAGCCCUAUGAACCAGGGGAAAAGAUGAUGGAGUGUGUUCUCUUUCUGCAGCAAAGAAUCUGUUGGAGUAUAUGCGUGUAUGGUCCAUAUAAACAUGUACUAAUCUGAAAAACAUAAAUUUAAUUAGCUUCUUGUGGUCAAAUGUGGAUGUGAGCUUUGAUUUUCAUCUAAGUGGAAGGAUAUCAAUAGACUAAUAAUUUAUCAUUUUAAUUAUCACAGGCCACACUGUCUAGUGGCAAAGGGAACUGAAAAGGGAGUCAGGAGACCUGGGUUCUUUUCCUGACUUGUAUGACCAUAGGCAAGUUAAUAAAAAAUAGAUAAAAUAAAAUAGAUAUCGUAUGUCUAAGCAUCUGGCUGAAUAAAAUAAGAUAGUUGUCAAAAACAUUAAGAACCUACAUAUAUAUGUACAGUUUCUGUGAUGUACUUUUGCCAUCGUGUGUGCAGUUGAAUGAACUGCAGUAGCAAAACCUACAGAAUACAGUUAGUAAUGUUUAAUCACUACACUGAAUAAAUUGUUCUACAAACUACCUUUUACUUUUGAAGCCCCUUGACAGCAGUGGUUAAUUUUUUAAAACCAUUUUUAUUUGAACUUUUACUCCUAUUUCCAUUAUACGCUGCUCACUUUCUCAUUACUAUCCCCUAGUACGCUUUAGUAUUAUUUGUUGUGGCUUGAGCAUUGCCACCUGCUUAAUAUUUCAAGCAGCAUGAGGUUUUCUUCUCUGGGUAAUCUUAUCUUUAAAGGCCACAGCUUUGAGAGUGGUUUGCUCAGACUGAGAAAAUUAAUGUGCAAUAUUGUUUAACUUUAUGCUGGCAACAAACUUUUAUUUGGAGGACUAACAGUUUUAUAAAAAAUCAACUUUCAUAUACAUUUUGCAACAGCAUCACUGUAAAACUUUAAAUAUUUAAAUUUGUUUACAUUUUUAAAAAAAUCAAAUCUAUAUGAUGAAAUAGGAACAAACUCUGCUUUCACAAGAGGUUCUUUAUUCUUCACUACUCGUAACAUGUAUUCCAGGGCCAUAUGUAGCAAUAAACUGUAACAGCUGCUGAUGGCACUGCAUCAGAUAAACAUCUCUUUGCUGCAGAGAGUUUUCAUCAUGGAGGUCAAACGGAAAUACUGCAUUUGGAGCUAUACAAAAUACAGAGGCACCUACACAAAGAAGAAUUGAACUGAAAAUGUUAUGUUAAUAGAUUCCAUAUGCACUACUGGAAAAUCCUCUUAACCAAUGGCUCUGCUUCAUCUUGGUGCCAUUUGAAAGGAUGACUAACGAAAAUAACACUAACCACAUGUUAUAUAGUAUUUCUGUCUUGUUUUCAAAUGAUGUUUAUUAAAAAAUACUCCAGAGGAUUUGGCAUGGGAUAUGAAUGGUACACUUGAAGUCUGAAUUUGGUUCAGCCCAACAGCAACCUGCCUUAAAAUUCCAAAAGGCUGAUAAGAUACUGCAUUAUGGCUGCCGCACAUGUAAGUUCUAAGACUGCCACUGUGAUCCACAUGGAGCUCACUGCAGGGUCAGGGCCCGUGACAGUGAGAGUUGACUUAUUUCUAGCCUAGAUAUGGAGCUUAAUAUUGAUUCUCUCGAACGGAUGAGAUAGCACUACAUCUUAACAUGCUCCAGCAUCUUAAAUUUUAGCCAUUCAGCUUAUUCAUGCAGAGAAUUACUUACCUUUUUUUUUCUUCUUCCCCAAGUAACCACAAGAGAGGAUGAUCAUAG